ACCAGGCGACCAACAAUCAAUAGCUUUCCACUUGUUUGCAACGACAGUUCCAGUGAGAAAAUGAAGGUUACCUUAAUUGUAAUGGGGCUCAUGCUCAUCCCAUUGGCAAAUUCUCUGGUGCACUGGAAAAAACUGGAGCCAGGCGCAAGCGGUGGCUGCAAGGGCACAAAGGGCGACUUGAAAGUGGGCGAAUUUGAGCAAGACCCUCUUGUGUGCGGCGCUCUGCAUUGUACGGACAAUGCAGGCAACGCAUUCAUUCACUAGCAAUUGUCAAAUACCAAUUACGGUCGCACUGUGCUCUGGAAGAGGCGUUAUAACGGAUAUCGAGUUUCCCGACUGUUGUUGGAUAUGCACUACUUAUAAGAACUGCUGAUGAACGGACGCAUGUACAAGAUGGGAAGGACCACAUGAGCUGCGGGCGCUUUGCAAAGGUUUCCCCAGCCCAAAGAUGUGUCCAUUGGGAGGGAAAAAAAUAAAUGAAAAAGGAGAAACACACAAUAAAUGAAUAGUUAUAAACCA